rnacentral:rRNA from 1 species
AUUGAACGCUGGCGGCAGGCCUAACACAUGCAAGUCGAGCGGGGUUUUCGGACCUAGCGGCGGACGGGUGAGUAAUGCGUAGGAAGCUACCCGAUAGAGGGGGAUACCAGUUGGAAACGACUGUUAAUACCGCAUAAUGUCUACGGACCAAAGUGUGGGACCUUCGGGCCACAUGCUAUCGGAUGCGCCUACGUGGGAUUAGCUAGUUGGUGGGGUAAUGGCUCACCAAGGCGACGAUCUCUAGCUGGUUUGAGAGGAUGAUCAGCCACACUGGAACGGAGACACGGGCCAGACUCCCACGGGAGGCAGCAGUGGGGAAUAUUGGACAAUGGGCGCAAGCCUGAUCCAGCCAUGCCGCGUGUGUGAAGAAGGCCUUCGGGUUGUAAAGCACUUUCAGUAGGGAGGAAGGGUGUUGUGUUAAUAGCACAGCAUUUUGACGUUACCUACAGAAGAAGCACCGGCUAACUCUGUGCCAGCCGCCGCUGUAAAAC